GAUGAACGCUAGCGGGAGGCCUAACACAUGCAAGCCGAGCGGUAUUGUUUCUUCGGAAAUGAGAGAGCGGCGUACGGGUGCGGAACACGUGUGCAACCUGCCUUUAUCUGGGGGAAAGCCUUUCGAAAGGAAGAUUAAUACUCCAUAAUAUAUUGAACGGCAUCGUUUGAUAUUGAAAGCUCCGGCGGAUAGAGAUGGGCACGCGCAAGAUUAGCUAGUUGGUGAGGUAACGGCUCACCAAGGCGAUGAUCUUUAGGGGGCCUGAGAGGGUGAUCCCCCACACUGGUACUGAGACACGGACCAGACUCCUACGGGAGGCAGCAGUGAGGAAUAUUGGUCAAUGGGUGCAAGCCUGAACCAGCCAUCCCGCGUGAAGGACGACUGCCCUAUGGGUUGUAAACUUCUUUUGUAUAGGGAUAAACCUACCCUCGUGAGGGUAGCUGAAGGUACUAUACGAAUAAGCACCGGCUAACUCCGUGCCAGCAGCCGCAGUAAAAC
rnacentral:rRNA from 1 species